GCCUGGGUGGCUCAGUCGGUUGAGUGCCUGGCUUCAGCUCAGGUCAUGAUCUCAGGGUUCAUGGGUUUGAGCCCCGUGUCAGGCU
rnacentral:tRNA from 1 species